rnacentral:rRNA from 1 species
AACGCUAGCUACAGGCUUAACACAUGCAAGUCGAGGGGCAUCAUGAAGUCAGCUUGCUGACUUUGAUGGCGACCGGCGCACGGGUGAGUAACGCGUAUCCGACCUGCCCUGUACUCGGGGAUAGCCUUUUGAAAGGAAGAUUAAUACCCGAUGUUUUCAUACUGCCGCAUGACGGUAUGAACAAAGAUUUAUCGGUACAGGAUGGGGAUGCGUUCCAUUAGAUAGUAGGCGGGGUAACGGCCCACCUAGUCUACGAUGGAUAGGGGUUCUGAGAGGAAGGUCCCCCACAUUGGAACUGAGACACGGUCCAAACUCCUACGGGAGGCAGCAGUGAGGAAUAUUGGUCAAUGGGCGAGAGCCUGAACCAGCCAAGUAGCGUGCAGGAAGAAUGCCCUAUGGGUUGUAAACUGCUUUUGUCCGGGGGUAAAGAUGUCCACGUGUGGACAGCUGCAAGUACCGGAGGAAUAAGGACCGGCUAAUUCCGUGCCAGCAGCCGCGGUAAUACGGAAGGUCCGAGCGUUAUCCGGAUUUAUUGGGUUUAAAGGGAGCGUAGGCGGAAGAUUAAGUCAGUUGUGAAAAGUCCGGGCUCAACCCGGGCCUUGCAGUUGAUACUGGUUUUCUAGAGUGCACAUAAGGAUGGUGGAAUUCGUGGUGUAGCGGUGAAAUGCUUAGAUAUCACGAAGAACUCCGAUUG